AAGAGUUGCAAAACUCCAACCAUUGUUAACCUUACUGUCAUUCGUUUCCUCGGCGGCGCGGCUCGCCCUCACCGGGGACCCUGCGGGGAGCGCCCCGCCUCAGGAGGUAGGGCAGCCCGAGGUACGAACUCUGUAUUAUAUGGUAUCUCUGAGUAUACUAAAUAAGUUA
rnacentral:misc_RNA from 1 species